UUCCAUGGAUGAAAAUUCGAUUUGCUACAAUCACUAGCAUGCAUGAGUCAUCAAUUAUUACUCGUAUGUAACCGUAGAGAACGCUGAUCUUCCACGAUCGAAAAGUGACUCAUCCUUUAGUUCGGAAGAUCAGUCUUUAAAUUUAGUGACCGAUCACCUUGCGCGUUGAAACAGACUGCCUUGAAAGUAUGUCGCAGAAAAAAAUACGAAGACGAUACGUUUGCAGAAAAUCUGGCAAAAAUUCAAACUGCGUUUCCACUGUAAAUAGUGCUCAAACGAGGGUGAAACUCACGAACGUUCGUGAAGAAUAUGAUUCUUAGAUUUCGUGAGAAUGACUCACUUACAUUAUGCGAAAUUAUUGUGCUUUCAAGUAGAUAUAUAUUUUUACAUAUACAUAUUUAAAUGGAAGAAUCUCUAUCGGAAUUUACUUCUUCUUAAUAUAAACCAGAAGAAACAGAAAUUUAUAACGAAAGGACCUGCGCCAGAAAUAAAAGAAUUAUCGUCGUAAUGAAAACGUUGAAUCGACGUUGGUUUAAGAACGUUUCAUCAACGCUAUAAAAAUUCUCAUACUUGAUCUAUCGUUUAACCGUAUCUAAUUCCUCGAUCAUGGAGUUUCUUCCACGAACUUCCCUACCGUGACUUUUUCUCAUCAAGAAGACGGAUUACGAAUCGCUAUUUUCCUCGGCAUUACACAGAGGCAGUUCUUGGAGGCUCCACCAGAUGUGAUUUCAAAAUACCUUACAACUUCGAUGAUUGCAAUGGCUAAGAAAAUUCUCAGGUUUCAAAAAUUCGCUUUUCGUUAAAUUUUGUCCUAAAGAAACGGGAAAUUAAAUUAUUACAAAGAUACACGUAACUGAUUAUAAAUUGGUUCCAGUUAUCUCGAGUCGUUAUCAGAGUACUAAUCUUCGACGGCGAUGACUAACAAUGAGCUAGACGUACGUCGCGGUUGUCGGAAGAACAUUGACUCAGCGUCGAGACACGUACGUUGCGAGCCAUUCGAAAUUCCACGAAUAUUCCUCGCCGCGUCGUAAAAGCCGCCAAACACGCUCAAUAUUUUUCACCUUACCCUCUCGCCCCCUGACACUCGUGCAUCUUUACCGCCACGUGAUCGCGGACUUUCCCUCUCCAUCAUCGGUUACGGGUUUAGAAUAACCCAAAGCUCCGCGGUUCGGACCAUUCGUGAGUUCGAUCUCGAGUUGUUCGCGUCUCCUUUCUUCACGGAAACUUCCUUUGGGAACCGACUGGCUAAGAGAAACCGACGCGCAACUUUCAUUGAGUAAUGGAGGUCGCUAAAGUGAACGAAAACGCUGGUAGCCUCGUCGAGCAAUCGAUGAACAUCACGGCGGAAUCAAAAUCCGUCUCCACCAUGAAAUCCUUGGAGAGCGUACAGACCAAGUCCGUCAUCGAAUCGUCGACAUCCAUCAAGUCCGUGACCUCGUCGUCGACGAGGGCGCAGCAGUCCAUGGAGUACGAGGAGACGAUCGAGUACAGCGACUAGAUCCAUUAUCGUCACAUCAAAUCACAAUUAAAAAACAACAAACGGAUACCCUUUUGACGUCGUGCCACGCAGGGGAGAGUUGACGCGCGGUAUUUUUGACUCGACUCCAUCAUCGAUCCACGUAUGAUAUUAGUGUGUUCUCCCGAUCUAUUCCAACAUUUCCAUGUGAAAAAUUCGAGAAUGAAAUAGCCGAUGGAAGACACUCGAGAAGCUAGUCGCGUUCUUGUCGACUGCGUCACGCCAGCAUGGUUCUAUCGAAACGAGAUUCAAAGGAAAUACGGUUAGUGCCAGGCAGAGAGUCUUUUCUCGCGUCUCGUAUGUUGAUCUUGGAUCGAGUCAGGAAGAACGUGCGACCCAGCUACGAAAGCGGCAGGGAACAGAAGGAAGAACACCAGUCGAGUCGAAUAGCUGAUCGACGAGUCAAAGCGUUCACGGCCUUUCGAAGUGGCUUUCAAAAAUAACCACUCUCUUUUGCACCGCAUACCUGAUAAUGAAAAUAAGAAAAAUAAGAAAAUGAAGGAACGUUUGGAAGCCUCGACCAUGAGCUCUGGCUCUCCUCCAAUCGGCGCGGUCCCCCGCCAAAUAGCGAUUCGCCCUUUCCUUUUCUUCCUCUAAGGAUCGUCCCUGAUCGUAUCACCGAUCCUCCUUUAAAUACGCAAGCCUCUCCAUCAUUGUCACGACUUGAUCCCACAUUUCGUUGCAAACAUUUGAUUAUCUUUGUAUAAUAAAGUUUCUAAGAUACUGUU